UGAACAAGUGCUUUACAUUCAUUAUCUCACGUGAGCUUCUGGCAAGCCUGUGAAGUAGACGCUGUUGUCGCACUUUUACAGAUGUGGAGACUGAGAUUAAAUGAGUUACUCAAGGGCGUCAGCGAAAGUGUCAGAGCCUAGUUCCUGACCCAUGUUUGCCCAACUCCAGGGAGCGUGCUCGACAUCCAAGCAUGCUGCAACAGCUGGGGCCGAAAGCCUUUCCCACCCACCCAACCAGUUCCUUCUUCCUCCAACCUGGGCCUGACAUCCCACCCUUCUGCUGGUUCCUUUGGCAUGACUGAUGAUAAGAAAACGGAGGCACAGAAAGGUCAAGAAACGUGGCCAAUGUCAUUUGAGAGACACUACAUAACACAGAACUUCAAAGCCAUGGGACUCAGACUACACCUUGGUUCAAGUUCCAGGUCUACCACUUAGUAACCGUGGGAUCAUUACUUCUAGUCUGCAGCUCCAGUUCACCAUUUGUGAAAUGAUACCACAAAUCUUCUGCUGGAGGGAGAAAAAAGGAAAAGUGACCAAGAAGGGACUUGAGAUUGUUCUUCCAUGCAAACAUGACCCAAGAUGGCUGCAUUCAAGGACCAGGGUCCUGUCUGUGCUGCAGUGAGAACUGUCAGCCCCCUAGAGACUAGAGUCCUCUUCCCCUGCUCUCUGAGCAGUCCCUUCUUGCUUCCCCGGCGACCCUCUCACCCAUUCCUGUCGCUCCAGAGACACAGGCAUAGAUGUCAGGGAGGCCCAGACAGAGGCUCCGUGUGAUAGGCCUGGGACACUUUCACUCCAAAAUAUAGUCACCUCCCUACAGUGAGGCUGGCUGGCCAGGGGCCACCCUGUUCCAGUGACAAGUCUAAAAUAGGAAACCGUUUCUUAGAGAAGCACAAAACCAUUGCCUUUGAGAACAUAGAGUAACGCAGCAAGAAGAAACAGCCCUCUGGUCUGGAGGGCAGUUUCCUGGCGGCCUCUACUCCACCCAUCCCUCAGCAGGGCAGGGAACAGAAGGCCAGAGUGACUCGAGUGACUCGGGCAGUGGCUGAAUGCCCUGGAGGGGCCAUGCCCCUCACACAGGCCUGUGUCUGCUCAUCCCAAGCCUCGGCUCCACGUCAGCCUGCGGCAGGCAGCGGGGGAGGCUGGUGGGUGUGAUGACUUAGAGG